GAUGAAGAACGUAGCGAAAUGCGAUAAGUAGUGUGAAUUGCAGAAUUCAGUGAAUCAUCGAAUCUUUGAACGCACAUUGCGCCCCUUGGUAUUCCAUGGGGCAUGCUUGUUCGAGCGUCAUUUGUACCUUCAAGCUUUGCUUGGUGUUGGGUGUUUGUCCUGAGGGACUCGCCUUAAAGUAAUUGGCAGCCAGUGUUUGGUUUUGAAGCGCAGCACAAGUCGCGAUUCAAGGCUAUACACCAGCUUCCACAAGCCUUUUUCACUUUUGACCUCGGAUCAGGUAGGGAUACCCGCUGAACUUAAGCAUAUCAAUAAGCGGAGGA
rnacentral:misc_RNA from 1 species